GGACCCGCACAAGCGGUGGAGCAUGUGGUUUAAUUCGACGCAACGCGAAGAACCUUACCUGGGUUAAAUCGUGGGUGCAAAGUGCAGAGAUGCACUCCCCGGGCAACCGGCGCCCACGAAGGUGCUGCAUGGCUGUCGUCAGCUCGUGUCGUGAGAUGUUGGGUUAAGUCCCGCAACGAGCGCAACCCUUACCACUAGUUGCCAGCAUUUAGUUGGGCACUCUAGCGGAACUGCCGGUGAUAAACCGGAGGAAGGUGGGGAUGACGUCAAGUCAUCAUGGCCUCUAUGUCCAGGGCUACACACGUGCUACAAUGGCCGGUACAAACCGUUGCGAACCUGUGAGGGGGAGCCAAUCGGAAAAAGCCGGUCUCAGUUCGGAUUGGAGUCUGCAACUCGACUCCAUGAAGUUGGAAUCGCUAGUAAUCGCAGAUCAGCACGCUGCGGUGAAUACGUUCCCGGGUCUU
rnacentral:rRNA from 1 species